UACGAAGGGGACUAGCGUUGUUCGGAAUUACUGGGCGUAAAGCGCACGUAGGCGGAUUUGUUAGUCAGGGGUGAAAUCCCCGGGGCUCAACCUCGGAACUGCCUUUGAUACUGCAAGUCUCGAGUCCGAUAGAGGUGGGUGGAAUUCCUAGUGUAGAGGUGAAAUUCGUAGAUAUUAGGAAGAACACCGAUGGCGAAGGCAGCCAUCUGGACCGACACUGACGCUGAGGCGCGAAAGCGUGGGGAGCAAACAGG
rnacentral:rRNA from 1 species